AGCGAACGCUGGCGGCAGGCUUAACACAUGCAAGUCGAGCGGGCCCUUCGGGGUCAGCGGCGGACGGGUGAGUAACGCGUGGGAACGUGCCUUCUGGUUCGGAAUAACUCAGGGAAACUUGAGCUAAUACCGGAUAUGCCCUUUUGGGGAAAGGUUUACUGCCGGAAGAUCGGCCCGCGUCUGAUUAGCUAGUUGGUGGGGUAACGGCCUACCAAGGCGACGAUCAGUAGCUGGUCUGAGAGGAUGAUCAGCCACACUGGGACUGAGACACGGCCCAGACUCCUACGGGAGGCAGCAGUGGGGAAUAUUGGACAAUGGGCGCAAGCCUGAUCCAGCCAUGCCGCGUGAGUGAUGAAGGCCUUAGGGUUGUAAAGCUCUUUUAUCCGGGACGAUAAUGACGGUACCGGAGGAAUAAGCCCCGGCUAACUUCGUG
rnacentral:rRNA from 1 species